CAGCCCUGAAGGUUUCUGCUUGUUCAUACCACCUCAGCUUCAGAAUAAUGCUCCUAUUCAGCUCUGGAGGUUGCUCUGGAAAAGUUUGAUGAAUCAGGAGGAGCUGAGUCCAUAUCAACCCGAUGGAUAAAGUCCAGAGGUUUUAUCAUCCCACCUUGGAGUUCCCUGAAAUGGCUGGUGUGGCUUCUGGACUUCUCAGCACUCUCAUCGCAGCUUCUGUGCAUCAAGUUGAGCACCGCCUACCUCUCCUGCAGUGUAUAUAUACCUGGUCUUUCUCUCCAUUCACCGCCAGCUCGUUGUUGUAACCACAAGUGUGCCGGGCCAUACUAACCUGUUUUCAUCUGCCACGCUCAGCCACAGCCUCUUCAUAAGCUAGGAUCCUCUCCACCUGGACAUCCAAUGACUCAGCUGGCUCAGCUUUGAGUUUCUCUCAUCUACACUCCUGCUUUACUGCCAUUUUCUGGAUAAUAAACAAG